UACGAAGGGGCUAGCGUUGCUCGGAAUCACUGGGCGUAAAGGGUGCGUAGGCGGGUUUUAAGUCAGGGUGAAAUCCUGGAGCUCAACUCCAGAACUGCCUUUGAUACUGAAGAUCUUGAGUUCGGGAGAGGUGAGUGGAACUGCGAGUGUAGAGGUGAAAUUCGUAGAUAUUCGCAAGAACACCAGUGGCGAAGGCGGCUCACUGGCCCGAUACUGACGCUGAGGCACGAAAGCGUGG
rnacentral:rRNA from 1 species